GCCCUGGUGGUGUAGUUCGGCUUAUCAUGAAGCCCUGUCGAGGCUUCGACUCGGGUUCAAAGGAAUUUAAUACUGAAAAUCCCGGCCAGGGCG
rnacentral:tRNA from 1 species